GAUGAACGCUGGCGGCGUGCCUAAUACAUGCAAGUCGAGCGAACAGACGAGGAGCUUGCUCCUCUGACGUUAGCGGCGGACGGGUGAGUAACACGUGGGUAACCUACCUAUAAGACUGGGAUAACUUCGGGAAACCGGAGCUAAUACCGGAUAAUAUAUUGAACCGCAUGGUUCAAUAGUGAAAGACGGUUUUGCUGUCACUUAUAGAUGGAUCCGCGCCGCAUUAGCUAGUUGGUAAGGUAACGGCUUACCAAGGCAACGAUGCGUAGCCGACCUGAGAGGGUGAUCGGCCACACUGGAACUGAGACACGGUCCAGACUCCUACGGGAGGCAGCAGUAGGGAAUCUUCCGCAAUGGGCGAAAGCCUGACGGGGCAACGCCGCGUGAGUGAUGAAGGUCUUCGGAUCGUAAAACUCUGUUAUUAGGGAAGAACAAAUGUGUAAGUAACUAUGCACGUCUUGACGGUACCUAAUCAGAAAGCCACGGCUAACUACGUG
rnacentral:rRNA from 1 species